rnacentral:misc_RNA from 1 species
UUAUAAAAUUAAAUUGAAAUUCAACGAGUUUUAUAAAAGAAAUUAAAAAAAUUUACUCGUAAAGUUGAGUAGCUGCAUAUGGUGAGUACCCGAUGACUGGGAGUUUGGUAGUGCUCUAAAGAAAAAAUCCUUCAAUCCCUCUUCCAGAUAUUGUUUCCCUGUAGAUGGUAAGUGCUUCCUCCAUAACGUUAGCUUGAGCCAGCAGCUGAGAUCUCUUCUUUCCAGAUGGAUGAGUAGAUAGAUAAUCUCUCAGUGCUGAAUCACCAGUGACCUUCCCCAAUUUCUCAUACACUCUAGGUGCAACUCGAGGAUCAUAUCCAGCAGAAGCCAUCAACAAUAGACCAAUGUAAUCUGCCUCUAUUUCCAUCCUGAGUUUUAAAAAAAGGGCCAUUGAAACUAGGUGAGCUCUUAAUGACUGAAUUUGCAUUCACCAUUAUGUUUUCUGCUGAUUACUUACAAAAAAGCCAGCUCAAUAGAAGUAUUUGUACAUGUAAUGAUGUAUUAUAGCCAUAGUCGUCAACUUGCUAUGUGAUAGAACAUUAUGUUUUACCCAGGCAAAAUUUUCAGGACAUGAUAUAAGCUGUAAAGACUCUACUAGUCUUUCAAGCUUUUUAAUAUGCUGGCGCAUGAUCAGAUGUACAUACAAUUUAAUUUCCCUCAGACUAGUUAAGAAGAAAGCUACACAAGAUGGAACCGUUAGAAUCUGCAUGAUUCAUUAUGAUCCAGAUAUCUCAAGAGUUGUACAAGACAGCAUAAUAAAAACUUGUCACUGUGCAGAACUGCAGAUACACAAAUUGCAGACACUAGUACUAGAUGGACACCAAGCUCUUUAUGAUGCAUUGCAGACCAUGUUGGCAAUAUUUCCAAUAAAAUUAAUGAAAAUCACAAAAGAAAAGGCAGUGAAAUUACUUAGAUUCAACAUAAUCAACUUUAAGGCUGCCAAAAAAUGCAGUAUCAUACAGAGGACCACCUCCCCUCCCCCAACAAAACAAAAAAAGCCAUGACUCAAACUAAAUAGAUGCUGAGGUCAUAAACCAGAGGACAAUUGAAGAAAAUAAUUUUGCUAGUGCCAAAACCCACCUGUCAUGACUGCAAAAGCAUGUAAUCAAAAACAAAUAAAGCAGACAAACACUACAUACAAUGAUAUUUAAUUGGUUAUUCUACUAUGAAUCAAAUCACAUAAAUACAUCAAUAAGUUCAGAAUCUCUAACUACUAACCCAAUUACACUCAAGAGAUAUCACACAUAUUAUUAAAUAAACCAUGGAGGCUGUCUUCACUAUAUGGGUAACAAUCCACUCUACAAUGGACAAAAGUCCCUUUCCUCCUGGACUCUAUGCCUUUUCUCCAUUCAUGAGCUAAAGCCAAAUAGCCCCCCUACAAUGUUCCUAUUUAUGAUCUCAAUAGAAAUCUCACUCAAAUAGAAAUAAUACUAAAAUACGAGCCCUACUCUACAUAAGAAAUAAACCUCUAACCAAUUGAGAAGUAUUUCUUCAACUCAAACUAAGGUCUUUUUCAAAUCCUACAAGGAUUUUGAGCCAUUAGCUAACAAAGUUGUAGUGCAACUAAAUGAUGAAUUCUAGUGAAGCUGAUUUCUAUAUGGUACUAUGUCAUUCACACAUCAAAUGCCUACUAGAAUAGGAGCCCUUCUUGAUGGCAUAAAAAGGAUGUUUAUAAGUUAUAUAUCAUGAUCCAAUGACAAUUUGCAGUGAUCAGUCUUUGGUUUUUAUGUACGUAUUGUUAGUAUUGUAAGUAAAACUUGAAAUGACACUGCAGUUUAAGAAAUUUGCAAAACUACAUUAUAAAGCAACUGAAGUGACAAAAUCAGUAUCUAAAAAACAUUACAUAUAUAUAACAAACAGAAAUGCAUGGAGAGGAUUUCAAUAGGAGCUUUCCUAGUCUAUGUUCAAUGAAAUACACGUAUUUCCAGUAACAAUAUUAACAAAAUAAGCAACAUACAUUAAAAUAUAUAUAUGUGUGUGUGUGU